rnacentral:snoRNA from 1 species
GAUACAUUCUUGAUGAAACCAUUGCGGAUGUAAAUGUCGAAAGACUGUCAUUCCGAGAGCGCAAAACCAUGUGGAUUUUUCCGUUGCCUUCCUUCUGACUUUUUUU